GUUGCUUCAGUGUUCCAAACAUUGCCUUUUUUUUUUUGAGUUGGUUAUUCCCUGCAAUGCAAUGUUACUGUUAAGGUCUUUCCUUUCGAUGUUUGUGCUCAGCCUUCAAUUUGCUCCGUCUUACUUAUCUUAUAUCUUUAAAUCUUGUUAAAAUCUCAUUCCUGUCAUGAACUGCGUCUUUGCUCGAAAACUGAUCGGUUUCCAAUUCAAAGUGACCUGUUACAACAGCUGUUCAAGACUUCUCAAGUUCUGUAGUGAGGUCUGGUUACUUUGAUUAACCACUUCUCUUCUUGAUUACAGGUACAUUUGUGUUCCAAUGGCUUACACUCAGAAAAGAAAGGACACCAGUACGUUGAAUGAAGCAAUCCUCUCUCCCCUCCCUCCACACCUAAGUUUCUUCUUUCACUUUUUCUUCUUUUCCUGAUUCUAUACUAUAAAUUCGAGGUCCUGUACAAAGUUCCCUUCACACUCAAGCAACAUGAAGCAAUUGGAAUUCAAACUGAGGUGAUGUCAGAUGUACUGCCAGAAGAGUAGAUUGAGGCAUCAGGAGUAGAAGGAACACUGUGCACCUUCCUGAAACUAAGUAAGAAGAACUAUAUAGCUCCAUUGCAUCAACCAUCAUUCAGAAGAGCAACCUAUAUGGAGAAAGGGCCAGCUAUUCCCACCCCUUGCCAACCAAGUUCCACCAGUGGUGCAGGCAAGCCAGCCUAGAUGAAACAGUAUGGCACCUUCAGGGAAAGACAGGAGGUGGCAUGUGUCAGAUGGGUCAAACUAUUGCCACCACCUUUCCUCAGAUCCCAACAGAGAAAGUAUAGAACCCUGAGGCCAAGAACCCUGGGAAGAGCUGUGCUUUUUAGAUGGCUGGUCUAGCUUCCCAGUUCCUCCCCCCAUCUUGUGCAAGAAUUAAAGGGAGAAAACUUUCCAGCUCUUCUCCAACAAGACAUCUCACAUUCCUUGAAAGAAGUUAAAACAGAGAUAGCUCUGUUCAAUGAUCCUCUGGUUUCUAAUGUCAAAAGAAUCAUGAAAUGGAGAUAUUCCAUCAAGGAUAUUUUCUACUGUCAUGGAAGAUAUGCAGUCCAGACACACAUGGAAGAGGGAUUCCCUGUAUAUAGUAAAGUUUUGCACAUGAUUCUGUUUGUGAAUAACGUUGUAUGAUUGAAUUGAGUAUCAAACAUUUCAGAUCCUUAUUAAUCAUUCAAAAGAAUCUCAUCUAACUAUCCAUGCAGAAAAAAACAAGUGGAUGAAGAAUACCUGUUGUGAAAGCUACAGAUGAAUGGAUAGCCCAUAAAGUAUCAUCCAUAAGUAUGUAUAUUUUGGAUGACAUGGCAAGACAAUGAAAUGUGUUCAAAAUUAAAUUAAGAAGGGGCAAGCAAGCUAGAUUGCCCUUUUUUUUUUGAAACUGUAGCACUUUUAAGGACCUUAAGAUUCUCCCUGAAACAAAGAUCUGCCUUUUUUAUUUUUCAAAUUGUUAUUUUUUCAAUUAAUAAGCAUUCAUUUUCUCUGUUGUUUCUACCAUCAGUGGGAGAAGAAAAAGAAAACUCUCACAAAAAUAUGCAUAGUAAAGCAAAAAUUCCCACAUGGGUCGUAUACAAAAAUGUGUGUCUUAUUCUGCAUCUUGAUUCUCUUUCAGGAGAUAGGUAGCAUCUUUCAUUAUGGGUCCUCUGGGAUCAUGAAUUGUUCAUUACAUUAAUCAAAGUUCUUAAGUCUCAUGGCUCCAGGCAUUCUUUCUUGGUUGUCCCCCAUGCCUGGAAUGUUCUCCGUCCUCCACUCCAACUACUGACCUCCCUGGCUUCUUCUAAAUUUCAACCAAAAUCUCACCUCCUAUAGGAAGCCUUCCCCAACCCCUUUUAAUUCCAGUGCCUUUCCUCUGCUAAUUAUUUCCUAU